GGGUGCUGCCUCGGGCACAGCCAGCUGGACCGUCCUUUACACAGAGGCGUGAACCGAGAAACUGAAGGAUUCGGAAGGGAAAGUGGAACUGGAAUUUCUAGUUUUUGUUGUGUGACUUCUGCAGAGGACUCCUUAAGUAAAAUGGGGUCUACUCAAGCAACAACAUGCUUGCUAUUCGGCACAGACUGGCUUCUGAUUCGCUGUAAUCCUUCAUUCUUCUGCUUCUGCCUACCGUGUGCUGGGAUUACAGGCAUGCCACCUGAGUCUUCCAUUCCAUCCCCUGGACCCCGCACGGUGGAAAGAACUGACUUCUUGUGGUGGCUGCCUCACAUCUGUCAUCCUACCUUUCUGGAGGCUGAGGCAGGAGGAUGAGCCUGGACUAUGCAAUCAGAGCCUGCUCCUCCUCACCCAGUAAAAGCCAACCGCUGCCACUAUAAAGCAUCAAUCUUGAUCUUCAGGUGACUGUCUUUUCUGACCUUGGGCAGAUGACUCCCGGAGUCUACACCUCUGGGAAACCGCAGGAAGGCCGGCCCAGGGUUAGGGAAGAUUUCUUGAGGUACUACACUGUUUCCACUUGGCAGGCCCCACUCCCUCUCACCCCCGCCCCCAUCUGAGUCUCCGCCUCCAGAGACUGCC